UACUAUACUAUCAAGCAGGGGCGUCAGACUGGGGGGGAAAAGGGGACUGAGUACCCAGGGCCCUCAUGUGAGGAGGGCCCAAAAAGAUGCUAGAAUGAAUAGCUGUGGAUGUGGGGAGGGGCCCAUAGAGAAUGCCUUU